AGUGAACGCUGGCGGUAGGCCUAACACAUGCAAGUCGAACGGCAGCACAGUAAGAGCUUGCUCUUACGGGUGGCGAGUGGCGGACGGGUGAGGAAUACAUCGGAUUCUUCUUUUUCGUGGGUGAUAACGUAGGGAAACUUCUGCUAAUACCGCAUACGUCCUACGGGUGAAAUCAGGAGAUCUUCGCACCUUGCGCGAUUGUAUGAGCCGAUGUCGGAUUAGCUAGUUGGCGGGGUAAAGGCCCACCAAGGCGACGAUCCGUAGCUGGUCUGAGAGGAUGAUCAGCCACACUGGAACUGAGACACGGUCCAGACUCCUACGGGAGGCAGCAGUGGGGAAUAUUGGACAAUGGGCGAAAGCCUGAUCCAGCCAUACCGCGUGGGUGAAGAAGGCCUUCGGGUUGUAAAGCCCUGUUGUUGGGAAAGAAAAGCAGCAGGUGAAUACCCCGCUGUUCUGACGGUACCCAAAGAAUAAGCACCGGCUAACUUCGUG
rnacentral:rRNA from 1 species